rnacentral:lncRNA from 1 species
AGAAAACGUAAUCAAGUGGUUAUUACCAUCGACGUGGCCGACUCAACCUGCAAACAGUGGCCGAGGAAUCUAUGGGAUUUCAACUGUAAGCCUCAGGUUAACUCGCCCCUAUAUUCCUGCAGAGGGAGGGCACUGGUCAGAAACGGGGUGCAGCUCGUUAAGUUCUUGUGGACGAAGUGCUGGAAAAGCGUCUGCCGAAAACAAGACUACCUCGGCUACCCGUUUUAGCCGCUUCCGAUGGUCAUCACUUGCGCAAUGCUUUUGUUCUGGGGAUAGAGUAAACGGAAAUAUUAAAUGGAAAGCCCACUCGUGAGUCAAGAGAC